rnacentral:misc_RNA from 1 species
CGCGCAGUGUUUGUUGUUAAGUCCAAGUGCGCGGAUCGUUUAGAGGAGGUCUGAUCGACUCCUGCCUAGAUAAGUUUAAUUUUGUCGUUGAGUCUUUUGUGAGUUUUAAACAUUUCGGUGUGUACAUAAUUAAAAAGGUGGCAUUUAUUGCAUGUUUCCGAGGUGUCAAUAAGCUGUUGAGAUUGUUGUAGAACUAUUGUAUAUAAAACAAGUGCGUCAUUGUCUAGCUGACCGCCACCUGGAGAAGAUGGGCAAGUUCGAGUAUUCGCUGGGUCUCAAUGAGUUCAAGUCGAAGGAUCUGCGUCUCUGGCAGGCGCUCAUCGGCGAGUUCAUUGGCAAUCUGAUAUUGAACUUCUUUGCCUGCGGCGCCUGCACACAGCCCGAGGAUGGCACAUUCAAGGCGCUGGCCUUUGGCCUGGGUGUCUUCAUGGCCAUUACGAUCGUGGGCCAUUUGAGCGGUGGCCAUGUCAAUCCAGCCGUUACCGUGGCUAUGCUGGUAGCGGGGCGGAUCAGCGUGCUGCGCGCCAUCUUCUAUAUUGUCUUCCAGUGUCUGGGCGCCAUUUCAGGCACGGCGGCUGUUAAGAUCCUGCUCGACUCCAACUAUCACAAUGGUCUGGGUCACACCAGCCUGGCGCAGAAUCUGACGGAGCUGCAAGGCAUGGGCAUUGAGUUCUUCCUGGGCCUCGUUCUGGUGCUGACCGUGUUUGGGGCCUGCGAUGCCAACAAGCCCGACUCGCGGUACACAGCUCCCUUGGCCAUUGGCAUGGCAGUGACCCUGGGCCACUUGGGCACCAUUCAUUAUACGGGCGCCAGCAUGAAUCCGGCACGCACUGUGGGCACUGCUUUUGCCACGGGCAAUUGGAGCGCCCAUUGGAUCUACUGGGCCGGCCCCAUACUGGGCGGCAUUGCGGCCGCGCUGAUCUAUACUCAGAUACUGGAGGCGAAGGACACGCCCAAGAGCAGCGAAAACGCUGAGAAAUAUCGCACGCAUGCCGAUGAACGUGAGGUGAGAGCUUUUGCGGCUUGGCAUGACAAGAGUUUCUAUUGAAACAGCACACACACACACACACACACCUUUACACCUACACUCACACUCAGAUUCUACGCAAACUGGAAGGAUCACGCGACUAUGCCUAGUCCUAUGAAUAUCCUGUAUAUACAUCCUGUUCGAAGGCCACUUACAGCCCGUCGAGUUGCCAGUCGAAAUGCUCAACAAGAAUUGAAAGGGAAUUUGAUGGAAUUGCUUUCAUCUUGAUUCCGUUUCGUUACAAUCUUGAAUAAUAUUUUCGUAUACGUGUUAAUUUAUAUAUGUAUGUGCGAGUAUUUAUGUUAUAUUAUUUAUGCAACAUCAUUUUAAAAACUAAUAUUUAAUUUAAGCUGUGCUUAACCCCACACAAAUUCAAGCAAACUAC